GACGAACGCUGGCGGCGUGCUUAACACAUGCAAGUCGAGCGAAGUAUUCAAGAUAGAUUUCUUCGGAUUGAAGUCUUGAAUAUCUUAGCGGCGAACGGGUGAGUAACGCGUGAGAAACCUGCCUUUCACAAAGGGAUAGCCUCGGGAAACUGGGAUUAAUACCUUAUGAUACUUACAUUUCACAUGAGAAGUAAGUUAAAGCGCAAAGCGGUGAAAGAUGGUCUCGCGUCCCAUUAGUUAGUUGGUAAGGUAACGGCUUACCAAGGCGAAGACGGGUAGCCGGCCUGAGAGGGCGAUCGGCCACACUGGAACUGAGAUACGGUCCAGACUCCUACGGGAGGCAGCAGU
rnacentral:rRNA from 1 species